rnacentral:misc_RNA from 1 species
AUUUCGGAGCGUAGGGUUCCUAGCGAGCCCACCUCCCACCCGUGUUUACUGUACCUUAGUUGCUUCGGCGGGCCCGCCAUUCAUGGCCGCCGGGGGCUCUCAGCCCCGGGCCCGCGCCCGCCGGAGACACCACGAACUCUGUCUGAUCUAGUGAAGUCUGAGUUGAUUGUAUCGCAAUCAGUUAAAACUUUCAACAAUGGAUCUCUUGGUUCCGGCAUCGAUGAAGAACGCAGCGAAAUGCGAUAACUAGUGUGAAUUGCAGAAUUCCGUGAAUCAUCGAGUCUUUGAACGCACAUUGCGCCCCCUGGUAUUCCGGGGGGCAUGCCUGUCCGAGCGUCAUUGCUGCCCAUCAAGCACGGCUUGUGUGUUGGGUCGUCGUCCCCUCUCCGGGGGGGACGGGCCCCAAAGGCAGCGGCGGCACCGCGUCCGAUCCUCGAGCGUAUGGGGCUUUGUCACCCGCUCUGUAGGCCCGGCCGGCGCUUGCCGAACGCAAAUCAAUCUUUUUCCAGGUUGACCUCGGAUCAGGUAGGGAUACCCGCUGAACUUAAGCAUAUCAAUAAGCCGGAGGAAGGGA